GGAUAACUACUGGAAACGGUAGCUAAUACCGCAUAAUGUCGCAAGACCAAAGAGGGGGACCUUCGGGCCUCUUGCCAUCGGAUGUGCCCAGAUGGGAUUAGCUUGUAGGUGGGGUAACGGCUCACCUAGGCGACGAUCCCUAGCUGGUCUGAGAGGAUGACCAGCCACACUGGAACUGAGACACGGUCCAGACUCCUACGGGAGGCAGCAGUGGGGAAUAUUGCACAAUGGGCGCAAGCCUGAUGCAGCCAUGCCGCGUGUAUGAAGAAGGCCUUCGGGUUGUAAAGUACUUUCAGCGGGGAGGAAGGGAGUAAAGUUAAUACCUUUGCUCAUUGACGUUACCCGCAGAAGAAGCACCGGCUAACUCCGUGCCAGCAGCCGCGGUAAUACGGAGGGUGCAAGCGUUAAUCGGAAUUACUGGGCGUAAAGCGCACGCAGGCGGUUUGUUAAGUCAGAUGUGAAAUCCCCGGGCUCAACCUGGGAACUGCAUCUGAUACUGGCAAGCUUGAGUCUCGUAGAGGGGGGUAGAAUUCCAGGUGUAGCGGUGAAAUGCGUAGAGAUCUGGAGGAAUACCGGUGGCGAAGGCGGCCCCCUGGACGAAGACUGACGCUCAGGUGCGAAAGCGUGGGGAGCAAANAGGAUUAAAUACCCUGGUAGUCCACGCCGUAAACGAUGUCGACUUGGAGGUUGUGCCCUUGAGGCGUGGCUUCCGGAGCUAACGCGUUAAGUCGACCGCCUGGGGAGUACGGCCGCAAGGUUAAAACUCAAAUGAAUUGACGGGGGCCCGCACAAGCGGUGGAGCAUGUGGUUUAAUUCGAUGCAACGCGAAGAACCUUACCUGGUCUUGACAUCCACGGAAGUUUUCAGAGAUGAGAAUGUGCCUUCGGGAACCGUGAGACAGGUGCUGCAUGGCUGUCGUCAGCUCGUGUUGUGAAAUGUUGGGUUAAGUCCCGCAACGAGCGCAACCCUUAUCCUUUGUUGCCAGCGGUCCGGCCGGGAACUCAAAGGAGACUGCCAGUGAUAAACUGGAGGAAGGUGGGGAUGACGUCAAGUCAUCAUGGCCCUUACGACCAGGGCUACACACGUGCUACAAUGGCGCAUACAAAGAGAAGCGACCUCGCGAGAGCAAGCGGACCUCAUAAAGUGCGUCGUAUUCCGGAUUUGGAGUCUGCAACUCGACUCCAUGAAGUCGGAAUCGCUAGUAAUCGUGGAUCAGAAUGCCACGGUGAAUACGUUCCCCGGGCCUUGUACACACCGCCCGUCACACCAUUGGGAGUGGGUUGCAAAAGAAGUAGGUAGCUUAACCUUUCGGGG
rnacentral:rRNA from 1 species